AAGUACUCUUCACUUGAGAAGACUGAGAGUCAUGUUGCUGGUGAACUGAGGGAUGUGAUGCUUGACCUUGAGAAGGAGAGGAACGCUACUGCUGCCUGGGAAAAGAAAAAGAAAGCCAUUGACCAGCAGAUCAAUGAAUGGAAAGCAAAAUAUGAAGGCUCACAACAAGAACUUGAUGCAAGCAAAUCUGAAUCCUGCAUGUACAGCUUUGAGCUACUGAAACUCAAAUCUGAGAACAGUGAUCUCAAAGAUGAACGGCAACCGAAGACAACAAACAACUACAAAACGAUCUUGCUGAAAUUGAAAAAUAAUUAACUGAGGGAGGAACUAGCGUCCACGACCUUGAGAAAGCUAAAAAGAAACUUGAACAAGAACUUGAAGAAAUCAAUCUCAUGAUGGAGAGAACAAAAGGCCAAUUGGAAGUAGAGCAGAACACUGUCCUUUGUCUUCAGUUAGAAAUACCACAGCUCAAACAGAGAGGAAACUCUUUGAGAAAGAUAAUGAAAUAAACUCCCUCAGGCAAGUCUUGCUGUACAUACCCAACUCAUUAUACUGAGAGCUGUUGCAUGGAAGUAAUCAAUGGGAGGGUGCGGCUAUGGACUGUCUGCCAUGUUGGGUGGCAAGAAUGUAC